rnacentral:rRNA from 1 species
UGCCUACGGGGCGCAGCAGUGGGGAAUAUUGCGCAAUGGGCGAAAGCCUGACGCAGCGACGCCGCGUGAGGGAUGAAGGUUUUCGGAUCGUAAACCUCUGUCAGAAGGGAAGAAAGUGCGUGGUGCUAAUCAGCCGCGUAUUGACGGUACCUUCAAAGGAAGCACCGGCUAACUCCGUGCCAGCAGCCGCGGUAAUACGGAGGGUGCGAGCGUUAAUCGGAAUUACUGGGCGUGAAGCGCUCGUAGGCGGUAUGUCAAGUCAAGGGUGAAAUCCCCGCGCUCAACGUGGGAACUGCCUUUGAAAC